UGCGCUUUCAGUUUUGAGACAAAUGAAGUUUUAGUAACUUCUUUAAAAUCAAUAACUAAAAUAAUUAACAUCAAAAAUAACGCGACUUUUAUCACUUUUUAGUAAAGUUGCACUGGACAAAGCGUACCACAAUUGGUGUACUGGUAACCGACACAGCAUUUGUGUCUAUUUUUCAUGUAAAGGUAAUUUUGAUGUCUAAGAUUAAAGGUAACGUUAAGUGGUUUAAUGAGUCCAAAGGAUUCGGUUUCAUUACUCCGGAAGACGGCAGCAAAGACGUGUUCGUACACUUCUCUGCAAUCCAGACUAAUGGUUUUAAAACUCUUGCUGAAGGUCAGCGCGUAGAGUUCGAAAUCACUAACGGUGCCAAAGGCCCUUCUGCUGCAAACGUAAUCGCUCUGUAAGAUACGUCAGCAAGAAUUCAAAACCCGCUUAAUCAGCGGGUUUUUUUU
rfam:Trichuris trichiura, WGS project CBXK01000000 data, contig: TTRE_730